ACACACACUAUCAUUACCCACCCGCCCAACAAAAAAAAAAACGAUUUAAUUCAAUUUCAUCUUUCAAAUUCAGACACCGCUUAGAAUCAAAGACAUAGAUAGUUAUUAGAUCUAAAACGAAAAAAGAAGAAGAAGAAGAAGAAGCUCUUUAUCAAAGACAACAAUGCCUUCAACUGAAGGAGACUUAGAUCUUAGGCAAUCUUCUCAUUCUGCUUUCUCAACCGGAGAAAACGCAUUCGCCGAUGUAGGAAAUUUGGAACAUUGCGCCAAGUAUUUGAACCAAUCGCUCGUCACAUUUGGUUUUUCUGCUUCGCUCGAUCUUUUUGCGAACGAUCCUGUUUCUAUAGCGAGGACUUGCAAUUGUAUAUACUUUUUGCUUCAGCAGAGACAGCGUGAUGUUGAGUUUAGAGAGUCUGCUAAUGAACAAAGACAACGAUUGUUAUCUGAUAUAUCGAGAUUUGAGGCCAAAGUUGAGAGACUUGAAGGGCAAAUACAAGCCAAAGAUAGAGAGAUAGCAACGUUAACUAGGAAGGAAGCUAAAAACACUUCAGCUCUUAAGGCCACAAUUGAUAAGCUGCAACAGGAGAGGGAUGAAUUUCAGAGGAUGGUUAUUGGUAAUCAGCAAGUAAAGACUCAACAAGUACAUGAGAUGAAGAAGAAGGAAAAGGAAUACAUAAAACUGCAGGAGAGACUAAACCAAGUGUUGAUGGAGAAGAAGAAAGAAUCUAGGUCGGGCAUGGAGAUAAUGAAUUUGCUUCAGAAGGAAGGGAGGCAACGUGGGACUUGGAAUGGGAAGAAAACAGACAAUGAUUUUUAUAAAAAGAUUGUGGAUGCUUAUGAGGCAAAGAAUCAAGAACUGAUAGCAGAAAAUGCUGAUUUAAGAGCAUUAUUGAGAUCAAUGCAGGUGGAUAUGCGUGAUUUCUUAAAUGCUCCUAAUGGGCUGCCAAAUCAAUCUCCCACUCCAAAUGAAAGAGCUGAAAGUAAUCCUUCGCAAUCGCCGCUGGUUGGGAGAACGGACGUAUUUGAUCUUCCUUUUCACAUGGCCAGAGAUCAAAUUGAAGAGAGUCUUAGAACCAAGAUGGCUUCUAUAAAGGAGCGCAUGGUCCAAUUGCAAGAUGCGCAGAAAGAGGCAGACGUCACUUCGGAAGCUACCGAGAGGGAACUUGAGCUUGAAGCUCAACUUGUUGAAGCAAGGAGCAUUAUACAAGAGCAGCAGAAAAAUAAAACUACAUUUAAUGGAAGCAAGAAUUGGUGUUUCAUUGAGGAUUGAUAUAUGCCUACAACAUGCAACUCCAUAUCUUUUGGCGGGUCCAGUCCUAAACAUGAAUCUAUAAUGGCUAAACAUCUUUCAAAGUCUGACAGACCAAGGGAAUCGGCACCGGCUGAGGGGUAGUGCUAGACUGGGAGCACAUGUUGGUGUAGAAAUGGUGGUCAUGAAGAUGGCAUUUUGCAUCAACCUUUUUUGAGGUUUUUGUUGGUGAUUCUUUUGUUUUUACAAUACUUUCAUCUCAUUCGCCUCAAAACGUUCAUUGAAGUAUGAUAAUGGGAUCAGUGUUGUUGAUGGUGAAAGGCCAAAAAUUCGUCAUAUGAACGUGUCAUUGCGGCCUAUGGCAUCGCCAUGGCGGACAUGCCAUUAUGCCAUGGUGGCACCAUGGUAGCAAUAUAACAACACUAUAUGAGAUUUGAUCAUAAAGUUAAAAUCUUCAUCACGAAUGAUUAUAUGAUCAUACUGGGAGUAUGUAACUAACAUUGUAACCAGGUCUCAUGCUUUCAUGAUUACUUACAUUGGCUCCAUGUAACUAAUCUUGCUUGUCCAUUCUGAAUUACCCCCUUAGUUGAGGAUGUAACAACAGGCCCUCCAAGUCGAAUGUCAUUGUUAUAAGUAUGAUAUUGUAAUUAAGUGAUAUUGUAGACUUGGAACUGCUUCCGGAAGAAACUAGUUAUUUAUUUCCGGAGGAUCACUCAAACUAGCAUAGCAUUUAAGAUUUGAUUUGUAGCUAGAAAGAUUUCAAGAGUUAGUAAUUAUAAAGUAUGAUUCAGUACA